UUUAAUUAGCGGAGGAACCUCAUUAAUAAAUGGGGUAAAGGUCGGGAUGGGGCGUGGGACGAAGUGGGUUCUUUUUUACUUGGGGGGGAUUUUUGGGGUGAAUUUGGGGGUUUUUGGGUCCUUUUUGGGGGGAUCCCUAAAUCCUUGGUAUUUUCUGGGAUUAUCCUUGGGAUAAUCCCAGAAAUGAAGACACUUUUUCCAUCUUAAUUAGUGGAGGAACCUCAUUAAUAAAGGGGGUAAAGGCCCGAUGGAGAAUGGGAAAAAAUGGGGUUUAUUUUUCCAGGGGGGAUUUUUGGGGUAAAUUUGGGGGCUUUUGGGGUCUUUUUUUUUUGGAUCUCCCCAAAUCCUGAGGGAUCCCCAAAUCCUUGGGAUAAUCCCAGAAAUUAAGACACUUUUUCCAUCUUAAUUAGCGGAGGAACCUCAUUAAUUAAGGGGAUAAAGGUCGGGAUGGGGUGAGGGACAAAGUGGGUUCUUUUUUCCAGGGGGGAUUUUUGGGGUGAAUUUGGGGCUUUUUGGGUUUUUUUUGGGGGGGAUCCCUAAAUCCUUGGUAUUUUCUGGGAUUAUCCUUGGGAUAAUCCCAGAAAUGAAGACACUUUUUCCAUCUUAAUUAGUGGAGGAACCUCAUUAAUAAAGGGGGUAAAGGCCCGAUGGAGAAUGGGAAAAAAUGGGGUUUAUUUUUCCAGGGGGGAUUUUUGGGGUAAAUUUGGGGGCUUUUGGGGUCUUUUUUUUUUGGAUCUCCCCAAAUCCUGAGGGAUCCCCAAAUCCUUGGGAUAAUCCCAGAAAUUAAGACACUUUUUCCAUCUUAAUUAAUGGUUCAGCCCAAUUAAUAAAAGGGGUAAAGGUCGGGAUGGGACAUGGGACAAAGUGGGUUCUUUUCUCCAGGGGGGAUUUUUGGGGUGAAUUUGGGGCUUUUUGGGUAUUUUUUUGGGGGGAUCUCUAAAUCCUUGGUAUUUUCCGGGAUUAUCCUUGGGAUAAUCCCAGAAAUGAAGAUACUUUUCCCAUCUUAAUUAGUGGAUCAGCCUGAUUAAUAAAGGGGGUAAAGGGCGGGAUGGGACGAGGGAC
rnacentral:lncRNA from 1 species